AUUUUCAUCAACAAUUACAUGGACCUGGAUAAUAUAAAGUACUAGGUUUUUGGAACAAUAUUUCCGUAGAGGCUAGAUUUAACUUGAAUUUUUAAAUUUUAUGAGAUGGGGUUGAUGUUAUAACAGUCUUUUGUGUCCAAAUAUUAGAAAAAUCAUGGCCUAUGAGAGGUUUUAGACUGGAUUAUUUCCACUUUGAACAUGCCUUAGAAACUAUACUAUUCAGCAGAAGAUAACCCAGAUAGCUAUCUACCCAAUCUCAACUCCACACAGUCCUCAAACUGGGGAUUCCUCUGAGUCAGAUUGAGCAGGUAAAGGAAGUGGCUGAUUAUGACCAAAUAUAUUUUGCACUUUAUUAUGUCUUAACAUUUAAAGAAAAACAGAUGUUAUUAUUGGACUUCAAUUUUUACUCAUGUUAUUCAUAAUAAAUUAUUUUUAUUCAAAUUUACAUUUUUUAGGAUUAUUCCUAGACAACAUGUCUAGAUAUAAAUCAGGAUGGAAAAUUAAAUAAAGAAUGUAUGCUCUACUCAGGAUUAAGAAGGAAUUCCAAGUUAAUUCAAUUCUGCCCCAUUUCAGGGUCUUCCAGAGGGCAAAGCUAAACUGCCCAUCAGUUGCCUGAAAGGAUCACAAAGGAUCAGUGGUCAGUAUGGUGAAGUGACUUCAUGAAGAGUCUCAAUCUGUUACCCAGGCUGAAGUGCAGUGGCACCAUCUUGGCUCACUGUAACAUCCACCUUCCAGGUUCAAGAGAUUCUCCUGCCUUAGCCUCCCAAGUAGCUGGCCAGGAUUUUCUAAGGGAAAUGGCAAAACACUGAAGGCUUGAAAAUAUUGAAGUAAUAUGAUGAGA
rnacentral:lncRNA from 13 species